rnacentral:rRNA from 1 species
AACGAACGCUGGCGGCAUGCCUAACACAUGCAAGUCGAACGAAGCCUUCGGGCUUAGUGGCGCACGGGUGCGUAACGCGUGGGAAUCUGCCCUUGGGUUCGGAAUAACAGUUAGAAAUGACUGCUAAUACCGAUGAUGUCUUCGGACCAAAGAUUUAUCGCCCAAGGAUGAGCCCGCGUCGGAUUAGCUGGUUGGUGAGGUAAAGGCUCACCAAGGCGACGAUCCGUAGCUGGUCUGAGAGGAUGAUCAGCCACACUGGGACUGAGACACGGCCCAGACUCCUACGGGAGGCAGCAGUGGGGAAUAUUGGACAAUGGGCGAAAGCCUGAUCCAGCAAUGCCGCGUGAGUGAUGAAGGCCUUAGGGUUGUAAAGCUCUUUACCCGGGAUGAUAAUGACAGUACCGGGAGAAUAAGCCCCGGCUAACGUCCGUGCCAGCAGCCGCGGUAAU